GACGAACGCUGGCGGCGUGCUUAACACAUGCAAGUCGAACGGAAAGGCCCUGCUUUUGUGGGGUGCUCGAGUGGCGAACGGGUGAGUAGCACGUGAGUAACCUGACCUUGACUUUGGGAUAACUUCAGGAAACUGGGGCUAAUACCGGAUAGGAGCUCCUGCUGCAUGGUGGGGGUUGGAAAGUUUCGGCGGUUGGGGAUGGACUCGCGGCUUAUCAGCUUGUUGGUGGGGUAGUGGCUUACCAAGGCUUUGACGGGUAGCCGGCCUGAGAGGGUGACCGGCCACAUUGGGACUGAGAUACGGCCCAGACUCCUACGGGAGGCAGCAGUGGGGAAUAUUGCACAAUGGGCGGAAGCCUGAUGCAGCAACGCCGCGUGCGGGAUGACGGCCUUCGGGUUGUAAACCGCUUUCGCCUGUGACGAAGCGUGAGUGACGGUAAUGGGUAAAGAAGCACCGGCUAACUACGUG
rnacentral:rRNA from 1 species